rnacentral:rRNA from 1 species
UACGGAGGGUGCAAGCGUUAAUCGGAAUUACUGGGCGUAAAUCGCGCGCAGGCGGUCUUCCAAGUCAGUGGUGAAAGCCCGGAGCUCAACUCCGGAACUGCCAUUGAAACUGUUGGACUUGAGUACGAGAGAGGUGAGUGGAAUUCCCAGUGUAGAGGUGAAAUUCGUAGAUAUUGGGAAGAACACCGGUGGCGAAGGCGGCUCACUGGCUCGUAACUGACGCUCAGGCGCGACAGCGUGGGGAUCAAACAGG